ensembl:lncRNA
GUAACGAGCCCUCGUGCGUUUUGCGUGUAAACCGGUUCGCGUUUGCGAUGAACGGUCUUCAAGCAUCAUCUUUUGUGUUCUGCAGAAGAAAGAAAGUCCUAUACGUUUGGAACGACGUGAGGCUUUGGGUCUGUGGCGGGGCUGGCUAGAUUCCCAUGGCACAGAGAGCAGCUGCCUGAGUUUCAGGGCUCUGGAUAAAACUGUUUCUCUUCCAUGCCGAGAGAACGUAAUGACAGUAGGGCCCUUUGGGCCUGCCAGCCAUCUGCAGGUCCAGGUCCUGGUUAAGCAUGACCAGGUGCAGAGAAAAGUCUUCUUGCUACCUCUCAGCUGAUUAGUGGAGCCGGUUGAUUGGUGCAAAUGAGGAAGCUUUUAUCCUGCUUGAGUAUAAUCUGCUUGCAUCUUUAUUGGCUAAAAGCAGGCGUGAUGCUGGCAUGACCCAGGCUGCCCCAGGACGCUGCCUUGCCUAGCUGCACAGAUCCUUGGAGCAUCUUUCCUAUUUGUCUGUCCCUCUCUGUGCUGCAACACAGCCUGUUAUUUCAAGGAAAGUGCAACCUUUGCCUUGGGCUUUAAUUAUGUUCAAUUUGCCAAGCCGAGCCUGAAAAAUUCAGAGGGUAAAAAAGCUCUAUGACCUAUUUAUUAAUGCUGCGUUGGGUCUAAAGCUACACUGAGAUCAGCACUGCAUCACUCAACAAUAACACCCAUCUCUGGAGAACAGACUUCAAUCACGUUGUACUCCUCUCUUACAAUGGGAAUUCAUUACUUUAUAAUAGAUCACUGACCAGUUAAUCAUUAUUAAAAGAAAUGUAAAAGUUUGUAGUUAAGUGUGAUUUGUAAUUGGUGUACAUUGUUGGAAUUGUACAUGAAAUUGGCAAAAUGGAAAUUAUAUAUAUAUAUAUAUAUAUAUAUAUAUAUAUAUAUAUAUAU